GGGUGCCUUCGGGCGGUUACCAGCUAAUGCUUCAGCGGUCUGAGAGAAGCGCCUUCGGGUGACUGCCAGCUAAAGUCCCGAAAACCUGAGAGGGACGCCUUUGGGCGGGAAACCCGUUUAACCUUUGAAAACGGGAACCAGAAUCUGGUCAAGGUUACC
rnacentral:sRNA from 1 species